rnacentral:lncRNA from 1 species
CAGCUUAGAGAACAGGAAGUGGGAGCCACAUACCCCGAGCUGGCGGCUUGAGCCUGUGGUAUCUAGGCUCACCUCACUGCGACUCUAGAUUCUAGAGGGCAACCUCUGUUUGCUCAUGCUGGAGCGUGGCAGGUGCACAAUGUUUCCUUGGGAAUCCUCAGCAGGGCACGUCUGGCUUUUACCACCCAGUUGCUUCGAGCCAGGAGAUGGAGGAGUCAUCUGUUGCACGCUGGAGGCUGGAGCCUGCAGAUGGCAUGGUUCUGUGGCUCACCUCGCUGCAGUUGGUGGCAGAGACAGAGACUGCAGCUUGACCAGAGUGGUGGAGUGAUAUGUAUCUCAAGAGCACUCCACAACAAAGAUUCUGCCUGCAAUCCUCCACUUCAAGGUCUGUUCCAGGAAACCUGUGUAACACAGUUAUGCAUAGAGUGGUCUUAGGAAGCUGACUCUAACAUGAAAAUUUAGAGUUGGAUCUUUUGCUGACAUAUUGAAUAUUCAUAAGAGCAUAUGAUACAUUUGUCUAUCAUAAACAUGUCAUUUCAAAAAACCCUCAAAGUUGCCUUGUAGAACAUAAUUUUAAAACUAGUGUGUAGGAAUAUUUCAUAUCAGUUAUUCAGUCUUCUUAAUAUCUGAACCGAAAUUAAUCUUCCAUUCUGCUUUUAUUUAUAAAUAAUGAUUUAUUGUCAGAUUCAAUAAUUUAUAUUUUCAUUUAUUCUAAGGUAGGAAAUACCAGCAUAAAAAUAAAUUAUUUGAAACAAAUCACAUUGUUGUCCCAUUUUACCAUUACUCACAUGUAGAAGAUAUUGUUUUUAACAAAAACAAUAAGAGAAACAGAAACUACCAUUUAUUAACUGAUGCUUACUGGAAGCUUUAGAAGGAUCUUAUUUAACUUUCAAUCAAGUUUUUCAUGGACAUUUUUGUUAUUGAGAAAUAAUUUUAAUUUAUCAGAUCCUCAAAGCAAAUUAUAUAGGUGCCAUUAUUAACAGAUUUUUUAAAAAAACCUGAUUCAUAGAAAAGGUUAAUGAUAUGGUUUGGAUCUUUGACCCCAUCAAAUCUCAUGUUGAAUUGCAAUCCCCAGUGCUGGAAGUGGGGCCUGGUGGGAGCUGAUUAAAUUAUGGAGGUGGAGUUCUCGUGAAUGGUAUAGCACCAUUCCUUUGGUGCUGUCUUGUGGUUGAGUUUUCAUGACAUUUGGUUGUUUAAAAGUUUGUGGCAUCUUUCCCAUCUCUCUCUUGCUCUUCCUGCAGCCAGGUGAAGGGCUGUUCCCCCUUUGCCUUCUGCCAUGAUUGUAAAUUUCCUGAGGCCUCCCCAAAAGCUGAGCAGGUGUCAG